AAUACAGUGAUGAGGACAUCUUCCCACAGCAGACCCUUAUAUGUUUCCCAUGCAUCAUAAAAGGAUUCACCAUCUUGUUGAACAAAAGAGGUGAUUUCACUUUGCAACU